AGCUCCAAUAGCGUAUAUUAAAGUUGUUGCGGUUAAAAGCUCGUAGUUGGAUUUCUGUUGAGGAUGGGCGGUCCGCACUUCGUGCGUGUAUCUGUUUUGUCCUUGGCAUCCUUUCAAGGAACGUAACUGUGCUUAAUUGCAUGGUGCGGUACUUGAAACUUUUACUUUGAGGAAAUUAGAGUGUUCACGGCAGGCUAACGCCUUGAAUAUAUUAGCAUGGAAUAAUAAUAUAGGAUCUUGGGUCUAUUUUGUUGGUUUCUAGAGCUAAGAUAAUGAUUAAUAGGGACAAUUGGGGGCAUUCGUAUUAACACGUCAGAGGUGGAAUUCUUGGAUUGUGUUACGACGAACUACUGCGAAAGCAUUUGCCAAGGAUGUUUUCA
rnacentral:rRNA from 1 species